rnacentral:rRNA from 1 species
GAUGAACGCUGGCGGCGUGCCUAAUACAUGCAAGUCGAGCGAACUGAUUAGAAGCUUGCUUCUAUGACGUUAGCGGCGGACGGGUGAGUAACACGUGGGCAACCUGCCUGUAAGACUGGGAUAACUUCGGGAAACCGAAGCUAAUACCGGAUAGGAUCUUCUCCUUCAUGGGAGAUGAUUGAAAGAUGGUUUCGGCUAUCACUUACAGAUGGGCCCGCGGUGCAUUAGCUAGUUGGUGAGGUAACGGCUCACCAAGGCAACGAUGCAUAGCCGCCAUGCGAGGUGGAUCGGCCACACUGAGACUGAGACACGUCCCAGACUCCUACGGGAGGCAGCAGUAGGGAAUCUUCCUCAAUGGACGAAAGUCUGACGGAGCAACGCCGCGUGAGUGAUGAAGGCUUUCGAGUCGUAAGACUCUGUUGUUAGGGAAGAACAAGUACGAGAGUAACUGCUCGUACCUUGACGGUACCUAACCAGAAAGCCACGGCUAACUACGUGCCAGCAGCCGCGGUAAUAC